AAUAGUUUCUUUGGUGGUGACCUACUACAUGGAUAACCGUAGUAAUUCUAGUGCUAAUACAUGCGUAAAUCUCGACUCACGAAGAGACGUAUUUAUUAGAUAAAGACCGACCUCGUUCUGCGGUGAAUCAUAAUAACUUCACGGACCGCAUGGCUUUAUGCCGGCGGUGUUCCAUUCAAAUUUCUGCCCUAUCAACUUUCGACGGUAGGAUAGAGGCCUACCGUGGUGUUCACGGGUGACGGAGAAUUAGGGUUCGAUUCCGGAGAGGGAGCCUGAGAAACGGCUACCACA
rnacentral:rRNA from 1 species